rnacentral:rRNA from 1 species
GGUAUGAUAAAUUAUCUAUGCCAAGAGGGCAACAAAGAAGAUGACUCUGCUAUCUAAUAGUCCUCCGUGGACAAAAGAACUAAAAACUGUUGACCUCAAAUCAGAUAGGAUUACCCGCUGAACUUAAGCAUAUCAAUAAGCGGAGGAAAAGAAACUAACGAGGAUUCCCCUAGUAACUGCGAGUGAAGCGGGAAAAGCUCAAAUUUAAAAUCUGGCAGUCUUUGACUGUCCGAGUUGUAAUCUAGAGAAGUGUAGCCCGUGCUGGNCNGUGUACAAGUCUCCUGGAAUGGAGCGUCGGAGAGGGUGAGAAUCCCGUCUUUGACACGGAUUGCCAGUGCAUUGUGGUUGCGCUCUCGACGAGUCGAGUUGUUUGGGAAUGCAGCUCUAAAUGGGUGGUAAAUUCCAUCUAAAGCUAAAUAUUGGCGAGAGACCGAUAGCGAACAAGUACCGUGAGGGAAAGAUGAAAAGAACUUUGGAAAGAGAGUUAAACAGUAUGUGAAAUUGUUGAAAGGGAAACGCUUGAAGUCAGAUAUGUGAGCCAGGGAUCAAGCCUGCUAAUAUGCUGGUUGUACUUCCUGGUUGACAGGCCAACAUGAGUUUUGAUCAGCAGAGAAAGGUUAAGGGAAUGUGGCACCUUUUGGUGUGUUAUAGCUCUUGGUCUUAUGUGUUGGUUGGGACUGAGGAAAGCAGCGUGCCUUUUGGCGGGG